UACCGUUGACGCAGUCGUGGUGUUCGGGAAGCCGGUUCGAUGCCGGCGCGGCCCUCGCCACUGUAACCGCCGAGGAAGGCGGUCCUCGCGUGCACUUUCACGGUGCACGGGCCACUGGACGCGAGUCUGGGAAGGUCGACCGCCCGCCGAUGACGCGGAAGCCAGGAGACCGGCCACGGCGUAAUGGUUCCA
rnacentral:ncRNA from 2 species